rnacentral:rRNA from 1 species
GACGAACGCUGGCGGCGUGCUUAACACAUGCAAGUCGGACGAUGAAGCCGGAGCUUGCUCUGGUGAAUUAGUGGCGAACGGGUGAGUAACACGUGAGUAACCUGCCCUUGACUCUGGGAUAACUGCUAGAAAUGGUAGCUAAUACCGGAUACGACCCUCGGCGGCAUCGCCAGGGGGUGGAAAGAAUUUCGGUCGAGGAUGGACUCGCGGCCUAUCAGCUAGUUGGUGAGGUAACGGCUCACCAAGGCGACGACGGGUAGCCGGCCUGAGAGGGUGACCGGCCACACUGGGACUGAGACACGGCCCAGACUCCUACGGGAGGCAGCAGUGGGGAAUAUUGCACAAUGGGCGCAAGCCUGAUGCAGCAACGCCGCGUGAGGGAUGACGGCCUUCGGGUUGUAAACCUCUUUUAGUAGGGAAGAAGCGAAAGUGACGGUACCUGCAGAAAAAGCACCGGCUAACUACGUGCCAGCCGCCGCGGUAA